rnacentral:rRNA from 1 species
AUCUACGGCCAUUGAAUCUAGAAAAUACUGCAUCUCGUUAGCUCUGCAAAGUCAUGCUAGAUAUUGCUCGAUUAGUACCAAGGUUGGGGACAACUUGGGAAUCCCGAGUGCCGUAGUUU